rnacentral:ncRNA from 1 species
GGUUCCUUCCCCACUGGGCGAAGGAUGAAAAGGGAAUCAGGUGCAAGACCUGAACAGUACCCGCUGCUGUGAGUUCCCCCUGUGCUUCGGUUUCACAAUUAUGAGCCACUGGCGCGUGUCUUGACCUUGAAAAGUCGACUACAUCUUGCCUGGGAAGGCGUGAAACCGACGGGAACGAGUCAGAAGACCUGCCUCCAU